CCUGGCGGCCGUAGCGCGGUGGUCCCACCUGACCCCAUGCCGAACUCAGAAGUGAAACGCCGUAGUGCCGAUGGUAGUGUGGGGUCUCCCCAUGUGAGAGUAGGGAACCGCCAGGU
rnacentral:rRNA from 1 species